GAUGUGAAGACAAUCUGGCUGCAACAUCUGUCACACCAUUGAUCAUCAGAGUUGAUCUGACUGCCUAGGCAGGUGUCUCCUCCCUCCCCACUC
rnacentral:sRNA from 1 species